CGUGAAGAGGGAAACAACCCAGACCGCCAGCUAAGGUCCCAAAGUCAUGGUUAAGUGGGAAACGAUGUGGGAAGGCCCAGACAGCCAGGAUGUUGGCUUAGAAGCAGCCAUCAUUUAAAGAAAGCGUAAUAGCUCACUGGUCGAGUCGGCCUGCGCGGAAGAUGUAACGGGGCUAAACCAUGCACCGAAGCUGCGGCAGCGACACUAUGUGUUGUUGGGUAGGGGAGCGUUCUGUAAGCCUGUGAAGGUGGCCUGUGAGGGUUGCUGGAGGUAUCAGAAGUGCGAAUGCUGACAUAAGUAACGAUAAAGCGGGUGAAAAGCCCGCUCGCCGGAAGACCAAGGGUUCCUGUCCAACGUUAAUCGGGGCAGGGUGAGUCGACCCCUAAGGCGAGGCCGAAAGGCGUAGUCGAUGGGAAACAGGUUAAUAUUCCUGUACUUGGUGUUACUGCGAAGGGGGGACGGAGAAGGCUAUGUUGGCCGGGCGACGGUUGUC
rnacentral:rRNA from 1 species